rnacentral:lncRNA from 1 species
UACCCUAUAAAUAAAGUCUUCCUAAAUUUAUUUAUACUAUUCUAAUUGAAUAGUAUUUACUUUAGGAAAAUAUGGUCUGGUUAUCAUAUACUAGAUCAUUCUGCUUCUCUAGGUUUUAAAUAAUAUGUUUAAUUUUUGAUGAAUUUUAACAUUAGAACACCAACACAUUUUAUUUUGUUUUUUAGAUUUUAUGUGACUGUUUACGAAUUGAAAUUUUAUUGAAGAAGACACCUGGAAAGCUGUGUCAUCUGAACUAAGGUCAUUGAAUCCUUGUGAACAGAUGUUAUUUGCAAUGGUGCUGUGGUUUUCAUCUUGAAAAGGAAUGAAAGAGAAACAUCUUUAAAAGCCACAUUUCUCUUGAAAUGUCCAGUGCCUAUUAAAUGUCACUUUGUUAUCUGUAAUUUUAUGCUUGCUCUAUACCAGGAAAAUGCAAACAUUAACCAGAAAUGAAAUCACCAUUGAGACUGAAAAUUGUAAUUAACAGAUGCCUGGAAACUGCAGCCUGGGAAUAAAAAUCCAAGUAGCUUGGAAAUGCAGAGGAUGGAGAAACAAGUUAGCCAACACCAUGAGACAAUGUUCAUGGAAGACAUUUUGUAAGUGCUCUUCCAGAAAGAUCUCUCCAUAUUUGGCUAAACAGAAGUGAAGACUUGUGGAUCCUAAAAAUAUAUCCAAUAUUUAUGUGUGUACUUUCACCCCAAGUAUCCCCUUCCAUUCUCAGCCCAACGUCUCCUGUUUUCAAUUUUACUGAAAAGGUAAGAAAAAUUCUCUUGAAGAUUUUGGAGAUACUGAAACUCAUAGUUUGGCU